rnacentral:rRNA from 1 species
CUUUACUGUAGCUUUGCAUUGGACUUUGAACCGAUCUGUGUAGGAUAGGUGGGAGGCUAUGAAACCGGGACGCUAGUUUCGGUGGAGCCAACCUUGAAAUACCACCCUGGUUUGUUUGAGGUUCUAACCAUGGCCUGUGAAUCCAGGUCUGGGACCGUGCAUGGUAGGCAGUUUGACUGGGGCGGUCUCCUCCCAAAAGGUAACGGAGGAGUACGAAGGUACGCUAGGUACGGUCGGACAUCGUGCUAAUAGUGCAAUGGCAUAAGCGUGCUUGACUGCGAGACCCACAAGUCGAGCAGGUACGAAAGUAGGUCAUAGUGAUCCGGUGGUUCUGUAUGGAAGGGCCAUCGCUCAACGGAUAAAAGGUA